rnacentral:rRNA from 1 species
GAUGAACGCUGGCGGCGUGCCUAAUACAUGCAAGUCGAGCGAACGGACGAGAAGCUUGCUUCUCUGAUGUUAGCGGCGGACGGGUGAGUAACACGUGGAUAACCUACCUAUAAGACUGGGAUAACUUCGGGAAACCGGAGCUAAUACCGGAUAAUAUUUUGAACCGCAUGGUUCAUAAGUGAAAGACGGUCUUGCUGUCACUUAUAGAUGGAUCCGCGCUGCAUUAGCUAGUUGGUAAGGUAACGGCUUACCAAGGCAACGAUGCAUAGCCGACCUGAGAGGGGGGUCGGCCACACUGGAACUGAGACACGGUCCAGACUCCUACGGGAGGCAGCAGUAGGGAAUCGUCCGCAAUGGGCGAAAGCCUGACGGAGCAACGCCGCGUGAGUGAUGAAGGUCUUCGGAUCGUAAAACUCUGUUAUUAGGGAAGAACAUAUGUGUAAGUAGCUGUGCACAUCUUGACGGUACCUAAUCAGAAAGCCACGGCUAACUACGUG